rnacentral:rRNA from 1 species
UACGUAGGUGGCAAGCGUUGUCCGGAUUUACUGGGCGUAAAGAGCGCGCAGGCGGUCGUUCAAGUCGCGUGUGAAAGCCCCCGGCUUAACUGGGGAGGGUCACGCGAUACUGAUCGACUCGAAGGCAGGAGAGGGAAGUGGAAUUCCCGGUGUAGUGGUGAAAUGCGUAGAUAUCGGGGAGGAACACCAGUGGCGAAGGCGACUUCCUGGCCUGUUCUUGACGCUGAGGCGCGAAAGCUAGGGGAGCAAACGGG